AACGAACGCUGGCGGCACGCCUAACACAUGCAAGUCGAACGCGAACGCACCUUCGGGUGUUAUUAGAGUGGCGGACGGGUGAGUAACACGUGGGAACAUGCCUUUCAGUACGGAACAACGCCUGGAAACGGGUGCUAAUACCGUAUACGCCCCUAGGGGGAAAGAUUUAUCGCUGAAAGAUUGGCCCGCGCUAGAUUAGCUAGUUGGUGAGGUAACGGCUCACCAAGGCGACGAUCUAUAGCUGGUUUGAGAGGAUGAUCAGCCACACUGGGACUGAGACACGGCCCAGACUCCUACGGGAGGCAGCAGUGGGGAAUAUUGGACAAUGGGGGCAACCCUGAUCCAGCGAUGCCGCGUGAGUGAUGAAGGCCUUAGGGUUGUAAAACUCUUUCAGGGGUGAAGAUAAUGACGGUAACCCCAGAAGAAGCUCCGGCUAACUCCGUGCCAGCAGCCGCGGUAAUACGGAGGGAGCUAGCGUUGUUCGGAAUUACUGGGCGUAAAGCGCGCGUAGGCGGCUUGGCAAGUAGGGGGUGAAAUCCCGGGGCUUAACCUCGGAACUGCCCUCUAAACUGCUAAGCUAGAAUCCUGGAGAGGUGAGCGGAAUUCCUAGUGUAGAGGUGAAAUUCGUAGAUAUUAGGAAGAACACCAGUGGCGAAGGCGGCUCACUGGACAGGUAUUGACGCUGAGGUGCGAAAGCGUGGGGAGCGAACAGGAUUAGAUACCCUGGUAGUCCACGCCGUAAACGAUGGGUGCUAGGUGUUGGGUAGCUUGCUAUUCAGUGCCGAAGCUAACGCGUUAAGCAC
rnacentral:rRNA from 1 species